rnacentral:rRNA from 1 species
GAUGAACGCUGGCGGCGUGCCUAAUACAUGCAAGUCGAGCGAACAGACGAGGAGCUUGCUCCUCUGACGUUAGCGGCGGACGGGUGAGUAACACGUGGAUAACCUACCUAUAAGACUGGGAUAACUUCGGGAAACCGGAGCUAAUACCGGAUAAUAUAUUGAACCGCAUGGUUCAAUAGUGAAAGACGGUUUUGCUGUCACUUAUAGAUGGAUCCGCGCCGCAUUAGCUAGUUGGUAAGGUAACGGCUUACCAAGGCAACGAUGCGUAGCCGACCUGAGAGGGUGAUCGGCCACACUGGAACUAAGACACGGUCCAGACUCCUACGGGAGGCAGCAGUAGGGAAUCUUCCGCAAAGGGCGAAAGCCUGACGGAGCAACGCCGCGUGAGUGAUGAAGGUCUUCGGAUCGUAAAACUCUGUUAUUAGGGAAGAACAAAUGUGUAAGUAACUAUGCACGUCUUGACGGUACCUAAUCAGAAAGCCACGGCUAACUACGUG